GAUGAACGCUGACGGCGUGCUUAACACAUGCAAGUCGAACGAGAAGUGAAGACGGAAACCUUCGGGCGGAAGGCUUUAUUUCGAGUGGCGGACGGGUGAGUAACGCGUGGGUAACCUGCCUCAUACAGGGGGAUAACAGUUGGAAACGACUGUUAAUACCGCAUAAGACCACAGCACCGCAUGGUGCGGGGGUAAAAACUCCGGUGGUAUGAGAUGGACCCGCGUUCGAUUAGCCAGUUGGCGGGGUAACGGCCCACCAAAGCGACGAUCGAUAGCCGAUCUGAGAGGAUGACCGGCCACAUUGGGACUGAGACACGGCCCAAACUCCUACGGGAGGCAGCAGUGGGGAAUAUUGCACAAUGGGGGAAACCCUGAUGCAGCGACGCCGCGUGAGUGAAGAAGUAUUUCGGUAUGUAAAGCUCUAUCAGCAGGGAAGAAAAUGACGGUACCUGAGUAAGAAGCCCCGGCUAACUACGUG
rnacentral:rRNA from 1 species